GAUGAACGCUAGCGGGAGGCUUAACACAUGCAAGUCGAGGGGCAUCACGAGGUAGCAAUACUUUGGUGGCGACCGGCGCACGGGUGAGUAACACGUAUGCAACCUUCCCUGUACAGGGGGAUAACCCGGAGAAAUUCGGACUAAUACCCCAUGAUGAUAUUAUGGGGCAUCCUUUAAUAUUUAAAGCUCUGGCGGUACAGGAUGGGCAUGCGCGACAUUAGCUAGUUGGUAAGGUAACGGCUUACCAAGGCGACGAUGUUUAGGGGACCUGAGAGGGUUGUCCCCCACACUGGUACUGAGACACGGACCAGACUCCUACGGGAGGCAGCAGUGAGGAAUAUUGGUCAAUGGGCGCAAGCCUGAACCAGCCAUGCCGCGUGCAGGAUGAAGCAUCUAUGGUGUGUAAACUGCUUUUGUACGGGAAGAAACAGCUCUUCGUGAAGAGCCUUGACGGUACCGUAAGAAUAAGGAUCGGCUAACUCCGUGCCAGCAGCCGAC
rnacentral:rRNA from 1 species